GUUAAAACGUUUGCGCCUACUCCAGUUCUUUUCCCACUUCCAAUAUUCUCCCUUAUCUUCGCGUUCAUUUGUCAGAAGAAGUUCCGUCGGUUCUUUGAAUCUCCAGCCCUCGAAGUCGUCUCUCAUGAACUAAAAGAAGUUCCGAACAUGGAAAUUGUCUUCAGAUCUUUCAUUCCACCAUGCUUGAGUGCAGGGAAGUCCGAUGACCAUCAGUUUGAGGGCGCAUUAUCUCACGUAUCAAAAACAGGUUCCUCUUCAGUAUGAUAUGAACAUUUGCAAGUAUCUUACCACGUGGUUUCAUUUUGUUAUAAAUUGUAAUUGGGAUAGUUCAUUGGAUAGUUGGUUUGUGUUGAUAGUUUCUACUUAGGAGUUUAGGUAGUUCUGCAUUGUGUGUUGAUAUGAUACUUCAUUGGAUAGUUGCUCUGUGUUCAUAGUUUGUUUUGUGAUAUUUGUGAAAUGAAUUUCAGUUCAGAAAGUUAAGUUGUAUUUUUCUGUAAUGAUAUUAACAUGUCGUGCUUCAAUUUGCAAGGAAUUUGUUGAAACUAUUUGUUUACCCAUAAAAGGUACCGUUGAAUACGUGAUUUAUAGUUGCGUAAAUUAAGAU
rnacentral:lncRNA from 1 species